ACUGCUCACCUUGGCAAUAGGUAUUAAAACUGGAAUGACACAGAGAAGAUUAGCAUAGCCCUUGAGCAAGGAUAACAUGCAAAGUCAUGAAAUGUUUCAUUUAAAA